AACAGCAUGGUGUAGUGGUUUGAACAUUAGACUGUGACUCUGGAGACCAGAGUUUGAAUCCCAGCUUGGCUA